GUGGCGCAGUGGUUAACGAAUCCGACUAGGAACCAUGAAGUUGCGGGUUCGGUCCCUGCCCUUGCUCAGUGGGUUAAUGAUCCGGCAUUGCCGUGAGCUGUGGCGUAGGUUGCAGACGCGGCUCGGAUCCCAUGUUGCUGUGGCUCUGGCGUAGGCCAGUAGCUACAGCUCUGAUUAGACCCCUAGCCUGGGAACCUCCAUAUGCUGCGGGAGCGGCCCAAAGAAAUAGCAAAAAGACAAAAAAAUAAAUAAAUAAAUAAAAUAAAAAAUAUGAUGAAGCCCAAUUUACUUACCUUUCUGUUUUGCCGCCUGUGGUUUUAUGUCACAAGCACAUCCAGUGUUAUGAGGCUUUUCCCCUGUGUUUACUUCUUUUAUAGUUUCAGCUCUUACUUUUAGGCCUUUCAUCUACUUUGAGUAAGUUUUUGUACGUGGGGUAAACAAAGUUCUACUAUCAUUCUUUUUUUAAAUUGUUUUGUUUUGUUUGUUUUACAGCCACACCUGCAGCAUAUGCAAGUUCCUGGGCUAGGGGUGCAAUCAAAGCUGUAGUUGAGGCCUAUGCCUCAGCCAUUGCAACACCAGAACCAAGAUGUAUUUGUGACACAUGCCACAGGUUGCAGCAAUGCCAGGUCCUUAAAGCACUGAGCCACAAUGGGAACUCCUUCCUUUUCUUAGAAGAGUUUGAGAAGGAUUGGUGUUAAUUCUUUUUAAUGUUCGGUAGAAUCAAAUCAGUAAAGUCAUCUGGUCUUCAGGUUUUCUUUGUUGGAAGAUUAAAGAAAAGUAGAUUCCUUUCUUUUUUGUUUUUUCUAGGGCCGCUCCGGUGGCAUAUGGAGGUUCCCAGGUUAGGGGUCUAACUAUGCCAGAGCCAUAGCAACGCGGGAUCCAAGCUGCAUCUGCGACCUACACCACAGCUCAUGGCAAUGCUGGAUCCUGAACCCACUGAGCAAGGCCACGGAUUGAACCUGCAACCUCAUGGCUCCUAGUCAGAUACAUUAACCACUGUGCCACGACAAGAACUCUAAGAAAAGUAGAUUAUUUUCUAGAGAAGUUUUAAGUUCACAGCAAAAUCAAGCAGAAAGCUCAGAGUUCCCAAAUGUUCCUUAACACCACACAUGUAAAGUCUCCUCCACUAUCAAUAUCCUGAAUCAAAAUGGUGCACUUGUGAGCAUACACUGACACAUCAUUUUUGCAUAAAGCCCACCCUUGAUCCUGUGCAUUCUAUGGGUUUUGACAAAUGAAUAAGGACAUGCAUUCAUGUGUCAUAAAGAAUAGUUUCGCUGCCCUAAAAAUUCUGUUCCAUCUCUUCAUCACUCCCUUCCCCCAAUCCUUGACAACCAUGGAUCUUUUGUUACUGCCUCUAGUUUAGCUUUUUCAUAGUGUCAUAUAAUUGGAUGUCAUAUAGUAUGUCAACUUUUCAAAUUGGCUUCUUUCACUUGGUGAUAUGCUGUCAAGUUUCUUACAAGUAUUUGAGAGCUUGAGAGUUCAUUUCUUUUUAGUGCUAAAUAAUACUUGGAUGCAUUUAUUGAUUGAAGGACAUCCUGGAUGCUUCCAAGUUUGAGAAUGUUACUAUUUUUAAAUAAUAUGUUUUUUAAUGGCCACAUCUAAGGCUUAUGGAAGUUCCAGGGACUGAAUCUGAGCCACAGCUGUGGCAAGGCUGUAUCCUUUAACCCACUGUGCCAGGCUGGGGAUUGAACCUGCACUACAGUUGGAUUUUUUAUUUUUUAUUUAUUUUUUGUUUUUUUUUAGGACCGAACCCACAGCAUAUGGAAGUUCCCAGGCCAGGGGUUGAAUCAAAGCUGCAGCUGACAGCCACAGCCACAGCCACACCAGAUCCAAACCACAUCUGUGACCUACACCACAGCUCAUAGCAACGCUGGAUCUUUAACCCACUGAGCAAGGCCAGGGAUCAAACCUGCAUCCUCGUGGAUACUGGUCGGCUAUGUUACCACUGAGCCACAAUGGGAACUCCUGCAGUUGGAUUUUUAACCCACUGCACUAUAGCAGAAACUCCAAGUUUGGGAAUUUUAAAUAGAGCUGCAGGUUUUUGUGUAGACAUAGGUUUUCAACUCAUUUGGGUAAAUAACGAGGAGCACUACUGCUGUAUGGUAAAAUCGCUAACCUAUCAUUCAAAGUAACUGUACCAUUUUGCAUCAUUCACACCGGCCAUGAUUAAGAGUUCUUGUUGCUUCAUAUUCUCACCAGCCUUUGAUGGUUCAGUGUUUUCCUUUUUUGCCAUUCUAAUAUGUGAACAGUGGUAUUUCAUUGUUCUAAUUUGCAUUUCCCUUAUGACAUGUGAUAUGGAGCAUCAUAUGCUUAUUUGCCACCUAUAUAUCAUCCCUGGUGAGGUGUCUGUUGAAUCUUUUUUUUUUUCCUUUUUUAUUGUCUUCUGUCUUUUUAGGGCCACAUCCAUGGCAUAUGGAGGCUCCCAGGCUAGGGGUCUAAUCAGAGCGGCAGCCACAGGCCUCCACCACAGCCACAGUCACACCAGAUUUGAGUUGAGUCUGCGGCCCACACCACAGCUUAUGGCAGCGCUGGAUCCUUUACCCAGAGUGAGGCCAGGGAUCGAACCUGCAUCCUCAUGGAUCCUAGUUGGGUUUGUUAAUUACUGAGCCACGAAGGGAACUCCAUGUUGAAUCUUGUGGUUAUUUAUUUGGCUGCUGUGACCUGAUUUUCUUAUUGUUGAGUUUUAAGAGUUCUUUGUAUAUUUUA
rnacentral:lncRNA from 1 species